rnacentral:rRNA from 1 species
CCUACGGGCGGCAGCAGUGAGGAAUAUUGGUCAAUGGGCGCGAGCCUGAACCAGCCAAGUAGCGUGAGGGAAGACGGUCCUAUGGAUUGUAAACCUCUUUUGUCGGGGAGCAAAAGACGCUACGCGUGGCGUUCCGAGAGUACCCGAAGAACAAGCAUCGGCUAACUCCGUGCCAGCAGCCGCGGUAAUACGGAGGAUGCGAGCGUUAUCCGGAUUUAUGGGGUUAAAGGGGUGCGCAGGCGGAAGUUCAAGUCAGCGGUAAAAUUGAGAGGCUCAACCUCUUCGUGCCGUUGAAACUGGUUUUCUUGAGUGAGUGAGAGGUAUGCGGAAUGCGUGGUGUAGCGGUGAAAUGCAUAGAUAUCACGCAGAACUCCGAUUGCGAAGGCAGCAUACCGGCGCUCAACUGACGCUCAUGCACGAAAGUGUGGGUAUCGAACAGGAUUAGAUACCCCAGUAGUC